GGAAAUGUGCCUGAACAUAGGAUUACUUUGAUAGAGUAAAAAACAGGGGUUUAAACCCCCUCAUCUCCC
rnacentral:tRNA from 1 species